rnacentral:ncRNA from 2 species
GCGACCGCGUUGGGAGAAUCCGGAGCCUCGAUGAAUGAUCGGGACGCCGGUGCCGAAGGAGCAACCGCCCCGGAAACUCUCAGGCCCAAGGACCAGCGCAGGCCG